GCUUGGUGUACAGCAUCAGACAUUUGGUGCCUGGGGCUCUUUUGCAUGGAAGUGUGGUGUUGGUCUCCUACCCAGUGCAUAUGCGUAAAAAGCACUUAGUGGUGCUCCUGGGAAAGCCUCCCAUGAAGCAAUCCAGUCAUAAAAAUGAGGACGCAGGAAGGUUUCGGGCUGUGGUGGAGGAAGUGAGACCAGAGCUCCUACGCCGAGUUUCUUUUCCUUUCUGAGUUUCUGGUUCAUUUCCAACCUCAAAUCUCUUCACACAUAUUGACAUCUCUGGUUGAAUGUCUGUGCCUCCUGUCAGACAGCAGACACUCAGAGCCACCAUCUCUGUUACCCUGUGACCUGGCAGAGGGACAGCCACAUACUCACCGAGAGGUGGUUGUGGAGUAGAAGACAGCUGUGGAGAUUGGGGAAGUAGGUGGAAGGUUAACAGACCUUCAAAGGGGAGACCUUAGCUGAAGGGGAAUGCUGAACUCUUCCUGGAGACCCUGCAGACACAUCUGUGGGCGUGCAGCCAUGUUCCGA
rnacentral:lncRNA from 1 species